rnacentral:sRNA from 1 species
GUCAGGCAUGGUGGCGCAUGCCUGUAGUCCCAGCUACUCGGGAGGCUGAGGCAGGAGAAUUGCUUGAACCCGGGAGGCAGAGGUUGCAGUGAGCCGAGAUCGGGCCACUGCACUCCAGCCUGGGUGACAGAGCGAGACACUGUCUCAA